AGAGUUUGAUCCUGGCUCAGGAUGAACGCUGGCGGCGUGCCUAAUACAUGCAAGUCGAGCGAACGGACGAGAAGCUUGCUUCUCUGAUGUUAGCGGCGGACGGGUGAGUAACACGUGGAUAACCUACCUAUAAGACUGGGAUAACUUCGGGAAACCGGAGCUAAUACCGGAUAAUAUUUUGAACCGCAUGGUUCAAAAGUGAAAGACGGUCUUGCUGUCACUUAUAGAUGGAUCCGCGCUGCAUUAGCUAGUUGGUAAGGUAACGGCUUACCAAGGCAACGAUGCAUAGCCGACCUGAGAGGGUGAUCGGCCACACUGGAACUGAGACACGGUCCAGACUCCUACGGGAGGCAGCAGUAGGGAAUCAUCCGCAAUGGGCGAAAGCCUGACGGAGCAACGCCGCGUGAGUGAUGAAGGUCUUCGGAUCGUAAAACUCUGUUAUUAGGGAAGAACAUAUGUGUAAGUAACUGUGCACAUCUUGACGGUACCUAAUCAGAAAGCCACGGCUAACUACGUGCCAGCAGCCGCGGUAAUACGUAGGUGGCAAGCGUUAUCCGGAAUUAUUGGGCGUAAAGCGCGCGUAGGCGGUUUUUUAAGUCUGAUGUGAAAGCCCACGGCUCAACCGUGGAGGGUCAUUGGAAACUGGAAAACUUGAGUGCAGAAGAGGAAGGUGGAAUUCCAUGUGUAGCGGUGAAAUGCGCAGAGAUAUGGAGGAACACCAGUGGCGAAGGCGACUUUCUGGUCUGUAACUGACGCUGAUGUGCGAAAGCGUGGGGAUCAAACAGGAUUAGAUACCCUGGUAGUCC
rnacentral:rRNA from 1 species